rfam:Gossypium hirsutum cultivar TM-1 chromosome 13, whole genome shotgun sequence
AAGAAACUUAGGAGACACUUCAUUAGUGUAUCUCUUCAUUGAGGAAGAGCAUUGAGGUAUAUUGAAAGCAAAGGUCAAGAUAUCGUUUCAGUCGUCAUUUUCCUUGUUAACGAUUUGAUUGUUGCUCGUCCACAU